UACGUAGGGUGCGAGCGUUGUCCGGAAUUAUUGGGCGUAAAGGGCUCGUAGGCGGCCUGUUGCGUCGGGAGUGAAAACUCAGGGCUUAACCCUGAGCCUGCUUCCGAUACGGGCAGACUAGAGGUAUGCAGGGGAGAACGGAAUUCCUGGUGUAGCGGUGAAAUGCGCAGAUAUCAGGAGGAACACCGGUGGCGAAGGCGGUUCUCUGGGCAUUACCUGACGCUGAGGAGCGAAAGUGUGGGGAGCGAACAGG
rnacentral:rRNA from 1 species